CUUUGUGAGAGUCCACUUGUACGGACAGAGUUGCCAACACUCGUGUGUUGAUAAGUGUUACGGCUAUGCAUGUGGUAUUCAAGGAAACUGCUCACAAGGCAAAUGUAUGGAUGGUCGGUACGGCAAACUAUGCAGAAAGUCAUAAAACCGAGGUAUGAGUCAUGUCAUCAAGAGAGUGGACGAUGCAUUAAAUGCCGGCGAGGGUUAUUCGGCGACGACUGUCAGCAUCACUGUUCACAUCGAAUGUCUAUCAAGGGAAGAAGAUGAAAUGUUCAGGUGUAGUUCGGGAUGCACGCUGUGCGAGUUACCGCCCUCAUACUGGUUGUAAGAAAGAUCUGGCACUUCCAGUCAAUGCCAUGGAGGCCCAAAUUAACACCACCCUUCGACUUUGUAUCGCUGUGCUGUUGAUUGCUGUGACAACCCUCGCCAUCCCUUAUCGGACGGCCAUGGCUGCCGGGUCGACGUCAUGAAAGGAACAGAGACGGCAAAGGUGGUAAGUAUUCUGAAAAAAGAAGCUUUUUGUACUUAAAUGUAACAGAAAGGAACAGAAGUCGUGUAUAUUCCAUAUGUGAAACGAAGAACCAAAUGUUCAAGCGAGCUUUGGUCUUAACUUGGUGUCAGUUAACACGUCCAUCGUAAAUUUUGCGUUUUUACCUUUGCAACAAACCUAAGAUGCUAAAAUAGUGCUUUGAUGAUCCUAUUUAUGGAAGCUUCUAGUGUAUUCACAAAUCAUUAGCAAAAUGUUGAUAAUGUAAUGAAAUGAUCACAGCGAAAAGUUUCAUAACAAAUGGGUGUGAUGUUUUGUUAAUCCUAAUCCGUAUUUUCACUUCUUAUUCCGUAUAUUCUGGACUUCAGAGACCUCAUAUUGUAAAAUCAUGGGGUGAAGAAACGUGUUAUGGACAUAGGCAACGUUUACAUGCACAUUGUCAAAAGAAACAG